GGCACUAAAAUUUCGAGUUUUCGGCCAAGAAGUUCUGAGCAGCCGGCAUGGUGGCCGAGCGGUCGCACCGACAGGCUAGCAAUCAGUUCUGUCCUUUUUCAACUUGCAGAACAACGCGGCUGGAUGUUAUUCUUGAAUUGCUAAGUUGACUUUGCUAAAUGAAAUUAACCUAAGAAUUAAAUUUAACCUUAUUUUAACCACGUUUCCGAUUGAUCGGUCGAGUUAAAAUAAUUUCAGAUUUCUAAUACUUGUACGGUAUUAAUACCUACAAAUAACAUUUGCUGUCGAGACUUCAGCAUGGAACAGAAUCGUGCAGCAUAUAAGUAGAAGACUUCUGAUGGGGACUUGUACUCCCAUAGGGCACAAGUGUAGCUACCCAGUUCAUUCUUUUCGGACUCUUUGGAAGACAAUUUGUGUUUUUUUUACUUAAUAAAAGUUAUUUUAUUUUGA